rnacentral:rRNA from 1 species
AGAGUUUGAUCCUGGCUCAGGAUGAACGCUAGCGGCAGGCCUAACACAUGCAAGUCGAGGGGUAGUUGUCUUCGGACAAUGAGACCGGCGCACGGGUGCGUAACGCGUAUGCGAUCUACCUUAUACUAAGGGAUAGCCCAGAGAAAUUUGGAUUAAUACCUUAUGAGUUAAUUGAAAAGGCAUCUUUUUAAUUAUAAAGAUUAAUUGGUAUAAGAUGAGCAUGCGUCCCAUUAGUUAGUUGGUAAGGUAACGGCUUACCAAGACGAUGAUGGGUAGGGGUCCUGAGAGGGAGAUCCCCCACACUGGUACUGAGACACGGACCAGACUCCUACGGGAGGCAGCAGUGAGGAAUAUUGGUCAAUGGGCACAAGCCUGAACCACCCAUGCCGCGUGCAGGAUGACGCAUCCAUGGUGUGUAAACUGCUUUUGUACAGGAAGAAAUAUCCCGACGAGUCGGGACUUGACGGUACUGUAAGAAUAAGGAUCGGCUAACUCCGUGCCAGCAGCCGCGGUAAUACGGAGGAUCCAAGCGUUAUCCGGAAUCAUUGGGUUUAAAGGGUCCGUAGGCGGCUUAAUAAGUCAGCGGUGAAAGUUUUUGGCUUAACCAAAAAAUUGCCAUUGAUACUGUUAGGCUUGAAUUUUUGUGAAGUAUACUAGAAUAUGUAGUGUAGCGGUGAAAUGCUUAGAUAUUACAUGGAAUACCAAUUGCGAAGGCAGGUUUCUAACAAACGAUUGACGCUGAUGGACGAAAGCGUGGGUAGCAAACAGGAUUAGAUACCCUGGUAGUCCACGCCGUAAACGAUGAGUGCUAAGUGUUAGGGGGUUUCCGCCCCUUAGUGCUGCAGCUAACGCAUUAAGCACUCCGCCUGGGGAGUACGGCCGCAAGGCUGAAACUCAAAGGAAUUGACGGGGACCCGCACAAGCGGUGGAGCAUGUGGUUUAAUUCGAAGCAACGCGAAGAACCUUACCAGGUCUUGACAUCCCAGUGACCGUCAUGGAGACAUGAUUUUCCCUUCGGGGACACUGGUGACAGGUGGUGCAUGGUUGUCGUCAGCUCGUGUCGUGAGAUGUUGGGUUAAGUCCCGCAACGAGCGCAACCCUUAAUGUUAGUUGCCAUCAUUUAGUUGGGCACUCUAAUGUGACUGCCGGUGACAAACCGGAGGAAGGUGGGGAUGACGUCAAAUCAUCAUGCCCCUUAUGACCUGGGCUACACACGUGCUACAAUGGACGAUACAGAGGGCUGCAAACCCGCGAGGGGGAGCCAAUCCCAGAAAAUCGUUCCCAGUUCGGAUUGCAGUCUGCAACUCGCCUGCAUGAAGCCGGAAUCGCUAGUAAUCGUGGAUCAGCAUGCCACGGUGAAUACGUUCCCGGGUCUUGUACACACCGCCCGUCAAG